UCAGAUUGAACGCUGGCGGCAGGCCUAACACAUGCAAGUCGGACGGUAGCACAGAGAGCUUGCUCUCGGGUGACGAGUGGCGGACGGGUGAGUAAUGUCUGGGAAACUGCCUGAUGGAGGGGGAUAACUACUGGAAACGGUAGCUAAUACCGCAUAACGUCGCAAGACCAAAGAGGGGGACCUUCGGGCCUCUUKCCAUCAGAUGUGCCCAGAUGGGAUUAGCUAGUAGGCGGGGUAAYGGCCCACCUAGGCGACGAUCCCUAGCUGGUCUGAGAGGAUGACCAGCCACACUGGAACUGAGACACGGUCCAGACUCCUACGGGAGGCAGCAGUGGGGAAUAUUGCACAAUGGGCGCAAGCCUGAUGCAGCCAUGCCGCGUGUGUGAAGAAGGCCUUCGGGUUGUAAAGCACUUUCAGCGGGGAGGAAGGCAGUGCGGUUAAUAACCGUGCUGAUUGACGUUACCCGCAGAAGAAGCACCGGCUAACUCCGUGCCAGCAGCCGCGGUAAUACGGAGGGUGCAAGCGUUAAUCGGAAUUACUGGGCGUAAAGCGCACGCAGGCGGUCUGUCAAGUCGGAUGUGAAAUCCCCGGGCUCAACCUGGGAACUGCAUUCGAAACUGGCAGGCUGGAGUCUCGUAGAGGGAGGUAGAAUUCCAGGUGUAGCGGUGAAAUGCGUAGAGAUCUGGAGGAAUCACCGGUGGCGAAGGCGGCCUCCUGGACGAAGACUGACGC
rnacentral:rRNA from 1 species